CCCAGGACCAGAUGAACACCUUUUCACAGCAUGGAUGGUGACUGAACCAGCCCCAACACGUGUAAAUGGUUCUCACCAUCUUAACAGUCAGGCACAACAGCAGUAGGGAGGAGCUGAUUUCUCCCCAGGGGUUGUGGCAGGGAACACAGCUGGCAUAGAUAUCUCAGCAAGCAGUCUCCAAACUCCAGCAGAACCCAAGGAAUACCAGUUGACAUUCACAGCCUCUCCAGUGCCUCCCAAACUUUGGAUUACACCCGAGUGUCCAUUUUCACUGCCUGAAUCUUGCCUAUACUUGAGCUUAAGGGAAAAGCUACACAUUGAG